AGAACCUCCCGGGCCAGCUCCGAGUCCUGUCGGUGGGGGCAGCAGGAUGCUGGUGGAAGCAGAGGGGGCCGGCCGGGUGCCUCCGCAGCUCGGCUGGCAGGGCCUGGCGGGGCGUGUACGGCUGCUAGUGCAAGCCCCCCCGCCCCACCCCUCCCCAUGCAGCCCUGGCAGUGCCUCCGGCGCUUUGCCCUGGCCUGGUGGGAGAGGACAGCGGAGGGCAGCUCCCGAUCUCCCAGGGAGGAGGCUGGACCGAGGGACCCCGGGGGCCGAGGGGAGCCAGGGCUCCAGCGUGCAGCGGGAGGGAAGCCUCCAGGACUCUGUUCCCUCUGUUUAAAGUCUCCAGAUCCAGAGCGGAGCAGCCCCCCCAUGCUGUCUGCGGACGAUGCCGAGUACCCGCGGGAGUACCGGACCCUGGGGGGCGGGGGCAGCGGGGGCAGCGGGGGCCGGCGCUUCUCCAACGUGGGGCUGGUGCACACGUCCGAGCGGCGGCACACGGUGAUCGCCGCCCAGAGCCUGGAGGCGCUCAGCGGGCUCCAGAAGGCCGAUGCCGACCGCAAGCGCGAUGCCUUCAUGGACCACCUGAAGAGCAAGUACCCCCAGCACGCCCUAGCCCUGCGGGGUCAGCAAGACAGGAUGCGGGAGCAGGUUGGCGGCUGGACCGUGGACCCCGUGUGCCUCCUCAGCUCCCUCUGCUCCCACCUCCAUGGCGACUCCGCCCCCUCCGGGGCUGGCCAGCCGGCCCAGCAGCCAAACUACUGGAGUUUCAAGACCCGCAGCUCGCGCCACACUCAGGGAGCCCAGCCUGGCCUGGCAGACCAGGCGGCCAAGCUGUCAUACGCCUCGGCUGAGUCACUGGAGACCAUGUCGGAGGCUGAGCUGCCCCUGGGCUUCAGUAGGAUGAACCGCUUCCGACAGAGCCUGCCCCUCUCCCGCUCAGCCAGCCAGACCAAGCUGCGCUCGCCAGGGGUGCUGUUCCUGCAGUUCGGGGAGGAGACUCGGCGCGUGCACAUCACGCACGAGGUCAGCAGCCUGGACACGCUGCACGCACUCAUCGCUCACAUGUUCCCGCAGAAGCUCACCAUGGGCAUGCUUAAGUCGCCCAACACCGCCAUCCUCAUCAAAGACGAGGCUCGCAACGUCUUCUACGAGCUGGAGGACGUCCGGGACAUCCAGGACCGCAGUAUUAUCAAGAUCUAUAGGAAGGAGCCACUCUACGCUGCUUUCCCUGGCUCACACCUCACCAACGGGGACCUCCGGAGAGAGAUGGUGUAUGCGUCGCGGGAGUCGUCGCCCACGCGGCGUCUCAACAACCUGUCGCCGGCGCCGCACCUGGCAUCCGGCUCGCCGCCACCCGGGCUCCCGUCCGGGCUGCCGUCGGGCUCGCCGUCGCGCUCGCGCCUCUCGUACGCCGGGGGGCGCCCGCCCUCCUACGCCGGCAGCCCGGUGCACCACGCGGCGGAGCGGCUGGGGGGCGCCCCCGCCGCCCCGGGCGUCAGCCCGAGCCCCAGCGCCAUCCUCGAGCGGCGCGACGUGAAGCCGGACGAGGACCUUGCGGGCAAGGCGGGCGGCAUGGUGCUGGUGAAGGGCGAGGGCCUCUACGCCGACCCCUACGGCCUGCUCCAUGAGGGCCGCCUGAGCCUGGCCGCGGCCGCCGGCGAUCCGUUCGCCUACCCUGGCGCGGGCGGCCUGUACAAGCGCGGCUCCGUACGCUCGCUCAGCACCUACUCGGCCGCCGCGCUGCAGUCGGACCUGGAGGAUUCGCUGUACAAGGCGGCGGGUGGCGGCCCGCUCUACGGCGACAGCUAUGGCUUCCGCCUGCCGCCCUCGUCGCCCCAGAAGCUGGCGGAUGUGGCGGCGCCCCCCGGGGGCCCCCAGCCGCCGCACAGCCCCUACUCGGGGCCGCCUAGCCGCGGCUCGCCGGUGCGCCAGUCCUUCCGCAAAGACUCGGGCUCCUCGUCGGUCUUCGCCGAGAGCCCCGGAGGCAAGACCCGCAGCACCGGGGGCUCUUCGACGGCCGGAGCACCCCCUCCUGAGCUCUUCCCCGGGCCUGGGGAGCGCCCGCUCGUUGGGUUCGGGCCGCCUGUGCCAGCCAAGGAUACGGAGACUAGAGAGCGCAUGGAGGCUAUGGAGAAGCAAAUUGCCAGCCUCACAGGUCUGGUGCAGAGUGCCCUGCUUCGAGGGUCAGAGCCUGAGACCCCCAGUGAGAAGAUUGAAGGCUCCAAUGGAGCAGCCACGCCCUCAGCACCCUGCGGGUCAGGCAGCCGGAGCAGUGGGGCCACCCCAGUGUCCGGCCCUCCCCCGCCCUCGGCCAGCAGCACCCCUGCGGGGCAGCCCACUGCCAUCAACCGUUUGCAGAUGCAGCUGCAUCUGCGUGGCCUGCAGAACAGCACCAAUGACCUGCGCAGCCAGCUUCAGCAACUGCGGAAGCUCCAGCUCCAGAACCUGGAGUCGCUGCGCGCGCUGCUGAAGGGCACGGAGGCGGAGCUGAGCAUGCGCGUGUCGGAGGCGGCGCGGCGGCAAGAGGACCCGCUGCAGCGGCAGCGCACCCUGGUGGAGGAGGAGCGGCUGCGCUACCUCAACGACGAGGAGCUCAUUACCCAGCAGCUCAAUGACCUGGAGAAGUCGGUGGAGAAGAUCCAGAGGGACGUGUCCCACAACCACCGACUGGUGCCCGGACCUGAACUGGAAGAGAAGGCGCUGGUGCUGAAGCAGCUUGGGGAGACGCUGACUGAGCUCAAGGCUCACUUCCCAGGCCUGCAGAGCAAGAUGCGGGUAGUGCUGCGUGUGGAGGUGGAGGCGGUGAAGUUCCUGAAGGAGGAGCCACAGCGUCUGGAUGGGCUACUCAAGCGCUGCCGUGGGGUCACAGACACAUUGGCUCAGAUCCGAAGGCAAGUGGAUGAAGGUGUUUGGCCACCCCCCAGCAACCUCCUGAAUCAGUCCCCCAAGAAGGUGACGGCUGAGAGUGACUUCAACAAGAGCUUGGACUUCGAAAUGCCACCCCCCAGCCCUCCACUGAACCUCCACGAGCUGAGUGGGCCAGCGGAGGGAGCCCCUGCGACGCCCAAGGCGGGCAACCCCACCAAAGGCCUGGACGCUCCUGGCAAGAGAAGUGUGGACAAGGCUGUGUCUGUUGAGGCUGCUGAGCGGGACUGGGAGGAGAAGCGGGCAGCCCUGACCCAGUACAGCGCCAAGGAUAUCAACCGGCUGCUGGAGGAGACACAGGCGGAGCUCCUGAAGGCCAUCCCCGACCUGGACUGUGCGAGCAAGGCCCACCCGGGCCCAGCCCCCACCCCUGACCACAAGCCCCCCAAGAUCCCCCACGGCCAGAAGACAGCCCCGCGAACGGAGCCCAGUGGGAGGAGAGGCUCAGAUGAGCUGACGGUGCCCCGAUACCGCACGGAGAAGCCGUCCAAGUCUCCCCCACCGCCCCCUCCCCGCCGGAGCUUCCCCUCCUCCCACGGCCUGACCACCACGCGCACCGGAGAGGUCGUGGUCACCAGCAAGAAGGACUCGGCCUUCAUCAAGAAGGCAGAGUCCGAGGAGCUGGAGGUGCAGAAGCCCCAGGUGAAGCUGCGCCGGACCGUGUCCGAGGUGGCCCGCCCGGCCUCCACACCCCCCAUCAUGGCCUCUGCCAUCAAGGACGAGGACGACGAGGACCGUAUCAUCGCAGAGCUGGAGGUGUUUGAGAGAAGCUCAGUGUCUCCCCUCCCCCCUACGCCCCGCCGCCAGCCGAUCCCCACCUUGCUGUCCCCCCAGGACCUGGGGCCCCCUGGGGGCUCAGCCCCGGGCCCCACAUGGAAGGUAACGGGCUGCCCCCCACCUCUCACGGCGCUCUCUCUGCCUGUGCCUCCACGCUGCCUCUCCUCACUUCUCACGCUAACCUGCUAGAACACCAGUCACAUCCCUGGGUCCUGGCACUGCCACAGCCUCACCCCUGUGGACUGACUCACCCCCUCCCCCGCUCCAAGGACCGGCGCAGAACCCUCCCUUCCCUCUCCAAGACGCCAGCAGCCUGGUAUUUGGUGGCCCCUUGGGUCUGCGUUUCCUUACAGGCUUGAUUCCGUGCCCGGCCCGUGGUGGCUUGGGUAUUUUGUUUGGAUCUGUAGCCAGAGUUUAGGUCUGGCCCGAAGCCUGGGUUUUGUCUUGGUCCAAGUUUGGAUCUCGCUCCGUACAUGAUUCAAAAUCUGACUUCGUUCUGAGCCCUCGCCUAGCCCCUGAGCCCAUAGGCCCUACUCUGCUGCCCGUGCCAGGUGGGGGCGCUCCCACUGGAAUCCACGCCUUGCCCUGGGGGCCAGGACUCCCAGGAGAAAGGCCCACUUCCAGCCUCCCUCCUUCCCGUGGCCCCAUCUGGUCGGAGAGCUUGGGAUGGAAAAAAUCCCCUGCCCUUCCUUGGCUGCUGGUUCUGUCUUUUGGCAUUGGGAAGUUCUUCCUUCUCUCUAACUGCAGUCCUUGCUGCUGUCCUGCUGCACUUACUUCCUUUUUAUUCUGUCUUGGGAGUUCGAGGGUGACUUGCUGUCUGCACCCCAGGGGACUGUGCUUGGGGAGGGGGAGCUGGGGGUCUGCACCCCAGGGGACUGUGCUUGGGGGGUGGCGGUGGUCCGGGACUCUCUCCCUCCUCCCAGUCAGGUUGGAGUAGGGGGGCCUUGUCUCUGGGGAGGGGAGCCUCCCGUGCACACACGUGCCCACCUGCCUCAUCUGGUCCCAUUGGCCCACAGUGGGUUCUGUGCUGGCCGCCGCCUGACUUCUAGCCUAGCUUGAGGCCCAGUGGUGCUUUGGCUCUGGAUCCAGGGGAGCAGAUGGGCACCAAAUGGGUGGACAGUGCUGUCCGCCGGGCAGAGGGUGGCCACAGAGCUCCAAGGAGCCAUCUGGGCUUGAGUAGUGUGGCGGGGCUGCCCUUGGCUGGCUGUGCCCUCAGCACCUUGGCCUGCUGCACCCAGCCACUGCCCCCUUCUGGCCCUGGAAGCCAGUCCUGAAGGGGUCCAGUGGGAAAGCUCCUCCGCUGGCCCUUCGGGCUGGCGGAGCCUCCGCAUCCUGAGGCGCCAUCAGGCAGUGGAACCGGGCGGGCAUGGGCCGCCCUCUCUGCCUUCUCAGUCUGCACAUCCCACCUCCAGGCUGCCACAGGCCCCAGGUCCUUCUGCGUCCCCCGGAUCAUCUUGACUGAGUGCGCCCCCAACCCGCCCUCCCCACCAGAGUCCAGGCUUGAGGAGCCAGGUCCCAGGACAGCCCCCACCCCACGACCCCGGACCCUGCCUGGCAGAAGGAGGGGCUGGGAUUGUCCACGGACCCUGCCAGGGGUAGUGGCCACGGCUUCCCAGCCCAGGAACAGCUUGAUGCCAGAGCAGGAAGGGGCGGCUCUGCAAAGACUGGAGGCCACGGGCUGCAGCCCAGAAAAGGGAGGAGCUGGGGUCCCCUGUGCUCUGGGACUUGCUCCAGCCAGGACCCGGGAGCCCCCCACUGCUGAGACCCCCCCAGAGGAGAUGCUUAAGGACUCUGGACACGAUGCCCAGCCCUGCAGAGGGGAGCACCCGGGUCAGUGUAAUGCUGGCCUGGGCCACACGGGGCACGGUGCCACCACCCAGCGGAUGGACAGCCUGGAGGAGACACUUCGGGAGCUGGAAGCCACCCUGAACCAGUUGGGCACAGACCCUGCCACAGGGCCCGCUGGCAGCCCCCCACCCCCGGCCCCUGGUCCCCAGAGCGGCGGAGGCAGUGUGCCACCCAUGAAGGUGGUGACUCCAGGGGCUUCGCGGCUGAAGGCGGCCCAGGGCCAGGCCAGCAGCCCUGACAAAGGCAAGCACGGCAAGCAGAGGGCUGAGUACAUGAGGAUCCAGGCCCAGCAGCAGGCCACUAAACCAUCUAAAGAGAUGAGCGGGUCAAACGAGACCUCAAGCCCAGUCUCAGAAAAGCCCUCGGCUUCCAGAACCUCCAUCCCCGUAUUGACUUCCUUUGGGGCGAGGAAUUCUUCCAUCUCCUUCUAGAAGCUUCCUUAUACCCCCACCCCAGCCUGCCACCCCCAUCGCUGCCAUUUCUCUCUCUCCUCUUCCCUUCCUUCCUACCCCAUCCUCCAGACCCUCCAAGGGGUUUACGGCAGAUGUGGCCCUGCUCAGCUCUCUCGGCCCAUUCCCUGUUGGUGUUUUCGGUUUUUUAAAUGACUACUUUUAAUUAUCUUUUUUUUUUUUUUUUUUUUUUUUUUGGUCUUUUUCUAGGGCCGCACCCGAGACAUAUGGAGGUUCCCAGGCUCGGAGUCUAAUCGGAGCUGCAGCCGCUGGCCUACACCAGAGCCACAGCAAUGCCAGAUCCGAGCCUUGUCUGCAACCUACACCACAGCUCACGGCAACGCCGGAUCCUUAACCCACUGAGCGAGGCCAGGGAUCGAACCCGAAACCUCAUGGUUCCUACUUGGAUUCGUUAACCACUGCGCCAUGACGGGAACUCCCAUCUUUUUUUUUUUUUUUUUUUUUUUAAUAAUUAAAAAAACCCAAGCAAACCAGUAAAAUGAGAAACCCACACACCCCCACCUUCCCUCGACUUCCUGUUCAAAAUGGCGCACUUCCUGUCAUCCCCCCUCUUCCUCUUCCCCGCGCCGCUCCCAAGCCCACCCUGACGUUCCUCCCCUCCCUUCUCGCCUUUCCCCCAACCUUCCCAAGCGCACUCCAAACAAACUCUGAGCCACGGAGACUUGGAGCGACAACGACGACGACGACGAGGCGUUCCCUCUCCCCUUCCUCGGAAACCUUCCUGGAGGCAAACCCGGACAUUGGACCGACCCCAGUAUCAGGCUGGCAGGUGGGACGUGGGGAGACUCUGGCCCUGGAGGCGCCCCUCCUGUCCACCCUGGGGACGUGACUGAACGCCGAGGCUUCUCUGCUCCCACCGGCUCCUGCCCUGGUGGGCCCGGGAGUCAAGAGGACGGGCCGCAGAGGGAGGCAGGAGGUGGAGGGGCCUCGCUCGGGGUGGCGUGAGGCCGUCGAAUCUGUGCGUCCCCGUCCCCGGAAAGGAGCUGGCUUCCCGGAGCCGCCUUCCUGUGGUGAGGAGCUGCCCGGCUUGUGCCCAUCAGAGGGAGGGGCCCCUCGGGACUGCUGGUUGUGGACGCGGGCGUUGAGCAGACAGCCGGGCACUGGGGACACUGCCUUGGGAGAGGGCGGCCCCUCUGGAGGGGUAUUGUUACUUUUAGUUUCCUAAUUUAGCACUUUAAAUGGCAUUAACUUAUUUAAUGGGGGUGGGGUGGGCAAGAACGAAGGGCCUAGCAAAUGAGCCUUUGAGGCCUGGGGGGCGGGAAGGGUCUGGUCGGGAGGGAAGUUGGGGGAAUAAAUGGGGGGCAGUGAGGACACAGCUCUGACCCCCCAGGUGGGGGGGACUUGACCUUCAGUCAUCCUUUUUGAGACCUGAGGGUUUUCAGGGAAGGAGUGAGAUGCAUUUUGUAAAUGAGGAGCUGGUGACCCUGGGUGAGAUCCCUGAGGGUCCCUGAGACCUGACCGACCAGCCACAGCGCCCCCAACCUGUGGGCGCCUGCCUUGCAGUGGCUGCGGCCAGUGAGGCUUUGGGCCCAGGUCCUGAGAAGAGGAGGGAGAACCAAUUUUGAGUCUUGGGGCCCGGGCCGCCCCCAGGGCACAGCGAGCAGCCAGCAGGGAGAUGAUGUGUGUGGGGGAGGAGGAGGGUGGAGUGAGGUCCCCAGGGAGCAGGAUUCCUAUUUGGAGCACAAAGUGGGAUAAGCACAGGAGACGGGGGUUGGGAUUAGUCACCCCCCCCUCCCCUCACCGAGGAAGCACAGAAAGAAGGAGCCAUUGAAGGGGCAGAACCUCCUAGACCCUGCGGCCUGGUGCUUGAGAGCCAGGGGGAGCUAUUGAGGGUUGGGGAGGGAGGGGGAGCCGGGUUGUGUUUCUUCAUUUCUUUCUUUUUUGUUGUUGUUUUUGUUGGUUCAUCCUUGUUUUCUAGCUUUGGAUCAUUUUUGUACAAAGGCAAGCAAGCCUUUUUGAAAAAUAACAAAAGAGGAAAAAAAAAAAUCCCUCCGGAAAAAAAAAAAACCCUGAAAAAUAGAAAAAAAAAAAAGGACCUCAUAAAUGAUGCAAUUACUUUUAAUUGCAGGCAACUCUUUACAUUUAAGUGAAGUGUCUUAACAUUUUAUAUUGUUUUAAAAAUAUAUUUACAUAUUAUAUAUAUAUAAUAUACGUAAUAUAAAUAUAUAUAAAUAUUUAAAAAAGAAAAAAAAAAAGGAAACCACGGCGCUCUCUCCCUGGCCGCUGUUUUGGCGGGGGAGGGGGCUGGAGGGUGGGCACAUCAGCCUGGCUUCUGUGGUCCAGUGAAACGGUUUGGUUCGAUUUGGCUGUACAGAGACCCCUUGACUUGGGAGGGGAGGGGGGAGUGGUGCCCCCUCCUCCCUCCGCUCCAUUACUCUUUGCUUGCGACUUUUCCCUUGCCCCCCCCCACCGCCCACCCUCAGCCCGGUGCCCUGAACGUGUGCCCCAUCGUCACUGUCCUGAGUUGAAUGUCCCUUUGUGGGGGGAGGGGGAGGGGCACGUCCAUCCGCAAGAGGACACUUGGAGGGAGCCCUGGGCCCCACCCCACCUGCUCACCUGGAGCCCAGUGGAAUUUGCAUCUUCCUUUCAGUUUGGUGCCUGCACAUUUAUGGGCUUCGAGGAGUUGUGCACAGCCUCUGUGUGUGUGUGUGUGUGUGUGUGUGUGUGCGCGCACGCGCAUGUCCAUUGCACAAGUCCACUUACUCGUGUGUGUGGAGGGAAGGAAGCAUGAGUGUGCACCAGCAUGACGUGCCACACGUGUGUGCAGGGAGG